UGCCCAGUGUCAGAUGGGAUUGGCUACAGCCAGACAAACACUUGGUGGCAGUACUUUUGAUUUCAAAGGUGCAAACAGUGUCGGGUCGAGUCCUUUUGCUCCGAUGUCAACGCGCUAAAAGCUCAAGGAGGAAGAAGAGGAGUCGUCUUCCUUUGAGCGUAGCAUCACUGUUUUGCAAUUUAUGGAACACAAACCUGCUCCUGUGUACUGCAUUAUUUGUAGACCACCUGUGUGACAUCUCAGAAACACUCCAGCCCCCACCCACCUCACCUUGUGUGAAUUAAAACAAGUCCCUGGUAGCAUUUAUCCAGGGUGUUGUGAACGAAACAAGCAACAGGCAAAACCGUUCUACCUUGUUUACCUGAGAGACUCUGAAUGGACCAAGCCGUGUCUAAUACCCAUUAACACAGUCUGCAAAGCCCACAGAGUGACGUGGAGCCGUUUCCACUGUAGAAAUGUUGUGACCUAAAGCAGAACAGCUGUGCCAUCACCAGUCGAGCUACCAGCAGUUGACAAGACGGGUGUUGAAAGAAUCAAGCAGAGCAUUUCACAGACUUCCCUUAAGAGAUCCUGCAAGGACCAAGUUGUGGCUAAUAGCAGUCAAAAUGGACAUGCAUGCACCGUUUGCAAAGCUGAGAGAGUUUACAUAUAUCCGGAGGCCAGUUCCACAGUAGCAAAGAAACUACAGGGCACAGCUGUGCCAUCACAACGACAAGGGGGCAGAAAGUACCUUAGCAAGCUCAACGUCCUCCAUGUCUCUCUGGCAGCUCAUACUGUAUGAGAUGAAUGAUCCAGGAUUUGUCUUCCUGCUGCCCCCCUCUCUUUAAUGGUGAAAUCUGACAGAGCCAGGCUUCAAAUGGAAAACAAGGAGCUCCCCAGUGAGGAGGAGGCAAUUAUGGUCUGGCCUGAUGUGCAGCCUAAUGCCAAGAAUUCUAUAUCACACUAAAAACAACAAAGCAAAACAAAAGGUGCUACAUUCCCUCUCCAUUCAUAAUGGCUUGAUUGCUGCCGACUCCAAGCAGUCCUCCUGCAUGCCAGCGAUACCUCUUUUUUUUAUCGAGUUCUGUGAAAAUGAGGUGAAGAGUAAAUGGGGAGGAAAAGGUAUAGGAUUGAGCAGAGUGGCACUGACAUGCCACAAACACGAGCCAAGUAAUUUCACAUUUUUUCCAAGGUUGUUCUUUUAAAGUCACUUCCACAGAAGUGAAACCACAAUGUCAAGAUGCCUCAGAGAGCUCGACUGAGGAGUUACAGCUGCAAACCUGAAUUAGAAAAGAAAUUGAAUAGAUUGCUUCAAAAGAUGUUUGUGACCAGUAUUGGCAUAAUCGAUUCAUUUCUUUAAAUGCCAGUAAGGAACUGAGAAAUGCACAUUAAUGAAGAUGAGAUUUGAAGAUAGUGUUCUCCUCUGAGAGUCUCGGGGUACACAACACCGAGUCCCUCCAUGCAUUAUUCAGAAAUCAAAAUAAUCUCUUAACAAACACCUUUGUCACUGGUUUGAAUCAACUCUCAACUUU